rnacentral:rRNA from 1 species
GUAGGUGGCAAGCGUUGUCCGGAAUUAUUGGGCGUGAAGCGCGCGCAGGCGGUUCUUUAAGUCUGAUGUGAAAGCCCACGGCUCAACCGUGGAGGGUCAUUGGAAACUGGAGAACUUGAGUACAGAAGAGGAAAGCGGAAUUCCACGUGUAGCGGUGAAAUGCGUAGAGAUGUGGAGGAACACCAGUGGCGAAGGCGGCUUUCUGGUCUGUAACUGACGCUGAGGCGCGAAAGCGUGGGGGGGAGCAAACAGGAUUAGAUACCCUGGUAGUCCACGCCGUAAACGAUGAGUGCUAAGUGUUAGGGGGUUUCCGCCCCCCCCCUUAGUGCUGCAGCUAACGCAUUAAGCACUCCGCCCUGGGGAGUACGGCCGCAAGGCUG